CAGAGCGGGGCCGGAAGUUGUCGGAAGAGGAAGUGAUAUCAUCGGUCUGGACGCCAACCGCGUUUGCAGAGGAAUCGUCCAGGAGCCCUAGCUGGACAGGAAUAUGGCAGAAGUGGACUUGAGCAGCCUGGACAUCCUUCUAAGGAGACAUGAAUAGUUCUCGUGUUUCUGCCUUCCACAUUAGUGGCUAGGGAGAAUUUCUCUAUAUUGGGAGCAGUUGAUCUUCCUGGACAGGGAGGAGCAUGUUCACCUGAGCAGAGGCCUGGAACCGGAAAGAGGAAUCGCCCAGGAGCCCCAGCCACAGGAGAAGCUGAUACAAGUGGACCUGAGCAACCUGGAAAUCCUUCUAAGCAGAUAUGAACAGUCCUCAGGUUUCCGCCUCCCAGAUAAUUGGCUCUGAGUAAGAGAACGGAGGAGAGCUUGCGGCAGAAGGCGGGUCCAGGUGGAUGCAGAGGACGCGGGCUUUGACUUGGCUGAGUGCGUGAGUGAGGAGGGCACGGGACAGCUAGUAGGACAAACCCUGAACCCUCUCAAGAGGCUGGUUUCUAGAACUACCUUCCAAAUGGCAGUGUUACCUUGUGAAAGGCAGGGAAAGAUCCACACCCUAGUUAGAGGGCGCUCACUUUGGACCUUGGCGUGAAGAGGGCCAAUGUAGGGAGGAGAAAAGGGAAAGCGACCUGAACCCUGAUUACAGGGCAGUCACCCUUUUUUUAGUAAAAUAUACCUCCUUUACACUGUUGGGGUGGGGGAGUCCUGAAUGUGAAAAGAUCUGGAAAUGAACAGGUAAGGGAGGGA